AUCUCAGCUUGGGUAAGACUACCCGCUGAAUUUAAGCAUAUAAUUAAGCGGAGGAAAAGAAACUAACA
rnacentral:rRNA from 13 species